AGAGUUUGAUUUUGGCUCAGAACGAAUGCUGGCGGCGUGCUUAACACAUGUAAGUCGAGUGCGAACCCAUGCUUUGGUGUGGUAGUAGAGCGGCGAACGGGUGAGUAACACGUGAGUAACCUACCCAUAGGAUUGGGAUAACUACUUGAAAGGGUAGUUAAUACCGGAUAAGAUUAUGAUAGUUAUGGUUAUUGAGGGAAAAGGUGGCUGAGUUUGAUGCUACCGCCUGUGGAUGGGCUCGCGUCCCAUUAGUUAGUUGGUGAGGUAAUGGUUUACCAAGGUUAUGAUGGGUAGUUGGUCUGAGAGGAUGACCAGCUACAUUGGAAUUGAGAUAUGGUUUAGAUUUUUAUGGGAGGUAGUAGUGGGGAAUAUUGUGUAAUGGGCGAAAGCUUGAUGUAGUAACGCCGCGUGAGUGAUGAAGGCCUUUGGGUUGUAAAGUUUUGUUCUGGGGGAAGAGGGAGAUAUGUGUAGAUAAUGCAUAUCUCUGAUGGUAUUUUAGUAGGAAGUAUUGGUUAAUUUUGUGUUAGUAGUUGUGGUAAUAUGGAGGGUGUGAGUGUUGUUUGGAAUUAUUGGGUGUAAAGGGCGAGUAGGCGGAAGUGUUUGUCUGGUGUGAAAGCCCGGGGCUUAACCCCGGAAGUGCAUUGGAAACGGCAUUUUUUGAAUCUCGGAGAGGGUAGUGGAAUUCCUGGUGUAGAGGUGAAAUUCGUAGAGAUCAGUGAGGAACACCGGUGGCGAAGGCGGCUACCUGGACGAAGAUUGACGCUGAGGCGCGAAAGUGUGGGGAGUAAACAGGAUUAGAUAUCCUGGUAGUUUACGUUGUAAACGAUGAGCACUAGAUGUCGCGGGAGUUGAUUCCUGCGGUGUCGUAGUUAAUGUAUUAAGUGCUCCGCCUGGGGAGUACGGCCGUAAGGCUGAAACUCAAAGGAAUUGACGGGGGCCUGUACAAGCGGUGGAACAUGUGGUUUAAUUUGAUACAAUGCGUAGAACCUUACCCGGAUCUGACAUCCCUAGAAUCCUCUAGAGAUAGGGGAGUGCCCUUCGGGGAACUAGGAGACAGGUGUUGCAUGGCUGUCGUCAGCUCGUGUUGUGAGAUGUUGGGUUAAGUCCCGUAACGAGCGCAACCCCUGCCGAUAGUUGUUACCAACGAAGUGUUGGGUACUCUAUCGGGACUGCCGGUGUUAAGCCGGAGGAAGGUGGGGAUGACGUUAAGUUUUUAUGGUUUUUAUGUCCGGGGUUAUAUAUGUGUUAUAAUGGCCGGUAUAAAGGGAUGUGAAAGGGUGAUUUGAAGUUAAAUUUAAAAAACCGGCUCCAGUUUGGAUUGGAGUCUGUAAUUUGAUUCCAUGAAGGCGGAAUUGUUAGUAAUUGUGUAUUAGUAUGGUGUGGUGAAUAUGUUUUUGGGCCUUGUAUACACCGCCCGUCACACCACGAAAGUUGAUUGGACCGGAAGCCGGUAGCCUAACCUCUUCGGAGGAGGGCGUUGUUGAUGGUCUGAUUGGUGAUUGGGGUGAAGUUGAAAUAAGGUA
rnacentral:rRNA from 1 species